GUGGUGGAUUUGGACCGUGCCGUAAUUGGCUCGUCCUGAAAUUCAUUAGCUUGCGCUUUUUACAGUGCUCGGCAUGGUGUGAUAAUUAUCUGCGCCGUCGCCUUAGGCCUGUUCUAUAUGUGUAGCUUCUAAUCGUCCCUUGUGGACAACUUACUUAACACUUUGGCCUCAAAUCAGGUAGGACUACCCGCUGAACUUAA
rnacentral:misc_RNA from 1 species